rnacentral:sRNA from 1 species
AGCAGAUGUGUUCUGGCUGAAUGCUGAGUAACUAAAUGUGACCUGUACUCAUGGAAAGAGUAGCAUAAUUAGCUUCAGAUGACCACUACUCCUGUGCUCUCUAGAUUUGCCAGCCCUCCAGAUCUCUAUAUUGAAAGAUUUAAUAUAGCUCUUGGACAAUAUAUGGGAGCAUUGCAGAGCAUUGUGCCUCUUUUCAUAUAUAUGAAUAAGUUUUACAUCGAAACCAAGCUUAACAGAGACUUAAAAGAUGACCUUAUAAAGCUGUUUACGGAACAUGUUGCAGAAAAGCACAUUUACAGCCUAAUGCCUUUACUUUUAGAAGCCCAGUCAACACCAUUUCAGGUCACACCUUCAACUAUGGCAAAUAUUGUGAAAGGCCUGUAUACCCUCAGACCAGAGUGGGUUCAGAUGGCUCCAACUCUAUUUUCUAAAUUUAUUCCAAACAUUCUCCCUCCGGCGGUGGAAUCUGAACUUUCUGAAUAUGCUGCUCAAGAUCAGAAAUUUCAAAGAGAACUUAUACAGAAUGGUUUUACAAGGGGUGACCAGUCCCGGAAGAGAGCUGGGGAUGAGUUGGCUUAUAAUAGCUCGUCAGCAUGUGCAAGUUCCAGGGGGUACAGAUAGUGAAUGUAUUGAAUAUGCUUUCCUUCCUGAAAAGAGGACACACUGGAGCUGCAGAGACUGUAUUCAGAGCACAGUGGGGGCUGCACACACUCAGGAGCUCUGUCACAAAGCUGUUCAUGGAAGAGGAUGUUGGACUUCUUACUUGCUUUCACUUGAUAGGACCGCUGGGCAAGGAACUGAGGGUGGCAUCCAGCCAACAGCUACCAAGGAACUGAGGCCUUCAAUCUAAUAGCCCGAGGGGCUAUAAAUCCUGCUGACAGUCUGAGUGAACUUGGAAUGGAUGUAGGUCCAGUUGAAUCUUGAGAUGAUUGUGACCCUGGCUGACACCUUGAUCACAGCCUAGCAGCAAACCUUGAAACAGAGAAUUUAGCUAAGCUGUGCCCAGAUUCCUGACCCAGGGAAACUCUGAAAUAAUUGUGUGGUGUUUUAAGCCACUAAA